UACGUAGGGUGCGAGCGUUAAUCGGAAUUACUGGGCGUAAGGCGUGCGCAGGCGGUUCGUUGUGUCGGCGGUGAAAGCCCCGGGCUUAACCUGGGAAUGGCCGUUGAAACUGGCGAACUGGAGUGUGGCAGAGGGGGGUGGAAUUCCGCGUGUAGCAGUGAAAUGCGUAGAGAUGCGGAGGAACACCGAUGGCGAAGGCAGCCCCCUGGGCUAACACUGACGCUCAGGCACGAAAGCGUGGGGAGCAAACAGG
rnacentral:rRNA from 1 species